GACGAACGCUGGCGGCGUGCUUAACACAUGCAAGUCGAACGGAAAGGCCCUGCUUUUGUGGGGUGCUCGAGUGGCGAACGGGUGAGUAACACGUGAGUAACCUGCCCUUGACUUUGGGAUAACUUCAGGAAACUGGGGCUAAUACCGGAUAGGAGCUCCUGCUGCAUGGUGGGGGUUGGAAAGUUUCGGCGGUUGGGGAUGGACUCGCGGCUUAUCAGCUUGUUGGUGGGGUAGUGGCUUACCAAGGCUUUGACGGGUAGCCGGCCUGAGAGGGUGACCGGCCCCAUUGGGCCUGAGCUACGGCCCAGACUCCUACGGGAGGCAGCAGUGGGGAAUAUUGCACAAUGGGCGGAAGCCUGAUGCAGCAACGCCGCGUGCGGGAUGACGGCCUUCGGGUUGUAAACCGCUUUCGCCUGUGACGAAGCGUGAGUGACGGUAAUGGGUAAAGAAGCACCGGCUAACUACGUG
rnacentral:rRNA from 1 species